rnacentral:rRNA from 1 species
UAGAUGGGUAUCCCUACAUAGCGGGUGGGACCCACGGCGAAUGGUUCAUCAAGUCUUCAAAAAAGAAUAUAUACGAUUGCAUUGCAAAUACUAACGGAUGCGAUCAUACCAGCACUAAUGCACCGGAUCCCAUCAGAACUCCGCAGUUAAGCGUGCUUGGGCGAGAGUAGUACUAGGAUGGGUGACCUCCCGGGAAGUCCUCGUGUUGCAUCUCCUU